rnacentral:rRNA from 1 species
UACGUAGGGUGCGAGCGUUAAUCGGAAUUACUGGGCGUAAGGCGUGCGCAGGCGGUUCGUUGUGUCGGCGGUGAAAUCCCCGGGCUCAACCUGGGAAUGGCCGUUGAAACUGGCGAACUGGAGUGUGGCAGAGGGGGGUGGAAUUCCGCGUGUAGCAGUGAAAUGCGUAGAGAUGCGGAGGAACACCGAUGGCGAAGGCAGCCCCCUGGGCUGACACUGACGCUCAGGCACGAAAGCGUGGGGAGCAAACAGG